AUUGAACGCUGGCGGCAUGCCUUACACAUGCAAGUCGAACGGUAACGGGCCUUCGGGUGCCGACGAGUGGCGAACGGGUGAGUAAUGCAUCGGAACGUACCUUUCAGUGGGGGAUAACGUAGCGAAAGUUACGCUAAUACCGCAUAUUCUGUGAGCAGGAAAGCAGGGGAUCGCAAGACCUUGCGCUGAUUGAGCGGCCGAUGUCAGAUUAGCUAGUUGGUGAGGUAAAGGCUCACCAAGGCGACGAUCUGUAGCGGGUCUGAGAGGAUGAUCCGCCACACUGGAACUGAGACACGGUCCAGACUCCUACGGGAGGCAGCAGUGGGGAAUUUUGGACAAUGGGGGCAACCCUGAUCCAGCCAUGCCGCGUGAGUGAAGAAGGCCUUCGGGUUGUAAAGCUCUUUCGGCCGGGAAGAAAUCGUAUAGGCUAAUACCCUGUGCGGAUGACGGUACCGGCAUAAGAAGCACCGGCUAACUACGUGCCAGCAGCCGCCGUAAUAC
rnacentral:rRNA from 1 species